AUUCCUCAAGACUCAGUUCACACGUCGCUUCCUUCACUGUGUUCCUUAUUCCUUCUUGAAGAUGAGGAGACUUGAGGGUCCCAAGUCCAUGCUGAAUGAGGAUCAGAUGGAAGAAUUGGGGGUAUAUAAACAGGAGAAGAGGAGACUCCGAGGAGACAUAUCUGAUGGGCUGUUAUAUGAAAGAGAAGGAAGAAUGGAAGAGAAGCCGGUGCCCUCCUUGGGGCUAUUGACAGCAGCUGCUGCCUCCCUGAUUAUAUAGCAUCUGGAUUUGAUACAAAAUGGUGCCUGCUAUGAGUCUUUCAGAACAGAGGUGUCAAAACACAUGGAGUGAAGAGCCAGAGAAAAAUGUGAUUGGGAAAUAUCUAACAAAAUUAAUAAAAUGGAAUAUAAGUGAUCUUACUAUGUGGUUUUCCAAGUCAAUAUGUGGCCUAUAGGAAUUCUUUUCAAUGGUUUAGUGGCCCCCAA